CUUAUUUAGAUACAAUGGAGACACAUGGAACGAGAUUUGAGCUUCUGCUACAAGUUUAGUUCACCAUCACAAGAUUCUUCAAUUACCCCCCAUGGAGAGUUUUCUCAUAGAUUUGUGAAGGAGAGCUUGAGUUGGGUUCUUACUGCACUCAAACAACUAUAAUUGAUACCGUAAAUUUGCUCUUCUUCUUGGUUUUUUGCAUAUCGACUCUUGUAGAUAUCUAUAACAAACCAUUGUAAUACUAGUCCAGCCAGAAGGGACAGGUUCUCUGUAAUGGUUUCUAUCUGUUGCGCUCUUACUGGCACUGCAUAUUUUGCUGCUGGUUUGUGGGAUCUAAUAGCCAAAAAUGAGGAGUCUGAUCAUUUUCUAUAAACAUUGAAGUCCUUGUACGAACCCAUAGCAUUCAGGUUUUAGAUGUACUGACAUGGACAGUGAUGUAGACCGGUUGGCGAGAAGAGUAGAAGAACAACUCGAUCAAUUCAAAGGAAAACCCGGUUUGCUGCAAAUUUGGCAUUCAGUGUCCGAAUUGUGAUUGCUAUACCUUUCUGGAAAGGGAAAGACGCCAGGAAUAAACUCGUCGCUUUGCCACGAUGCGUGGGCUUUUUCGGAUUUUCGGGGUCGUUUAGGGCCUUAAAACUACAAUUUACUAUUUUUUAGGAUUUUCGGUUUUCUAGUUUGUUUUGGA